rnacentral:misc_RNA from 1 species
UCGAGUGUGGGUCUUUUCAAAGGCCCGACCUCCCAAUCCUGUGUCUAUCCUACCUCAGCGUUGCUUCGGCGGACCGGUCUCGACCACAACUGGUCUUGACCGCCGGGCCUACGUGGCCGGGAGAGUUCGUCCGCCGAUGGCCAUCACACAAGCUCUGUUCUGAAAAUUGUGUCGUCUAAGAUGAAAUCAUUAAUCAAAACA